GCUCCUGAGGGGCAGCGCGAAGCACCUGGCUGGCUGCCCGGCAACCUCUACUCCGUCUGAGGUGCUCCAGGGGAAGAGCCGGCUGGACGGCGCCCGCCGCCCGGCAAGGACGGAGC
rnacentral:ncRNA from 2 species